CCUACGGGAGGCAGCAGUGGGGAAUAUUGCACAAUGGGGGAAACCCUGAUGCAGCGACGCCGCGUGAGUGAAGAAGUACCUCGAUACGUAAAGCUCUAUCAGCAGGGAAGAAAAGGACGGUACCUAACUAACAUGCCCCGGCUAACUACGUCCCAGCAGCCGCGGUCAGACGGAGGGGGAAAGGGUUAUCCGGAUUUACUGGGUGGAAAGGGAGCGUAGGCGGCAGAUCAUGUCUGGGGUGAAAUCCCGGGGCUUAACGCCGGAACUGCUUUGGAAACUGUGCGGCUGGAGUGCCGGAGGGGUAAGCGGAAUUCCGAGUGUAGCGGUGAAAUGCGUAGAUAUGAGGAGGAACACCGAUGGCGAAGGCGGCUUACUGGAAUGUAACUGACGUUGAGGCGCGAAAGCGUGGGGAGCAAACAGGAUUAGAUACCCGAGUAGUC
rnacentral:rRNA from 1 species